rnacentral:rRNA from 1 species
AUUGGGCGUAAAGCGCGUGUAGGCGGUUUGUUAAGUCUGAUGUGAAAGCCCCGGGCUCAACCUGGGAAGUGCAUUGGAUACUGGCAGACUUGAAUACGGGAGAGGGCAGUGGAAUUCCUGGUGUAGGAGUGAAAUCCGUAGAUAUCAGGAGGAACACCGGUGGCGAAGGCGGCUGCCUGGACCGAUAUUGACGCUGAGACGCGAAAGCGUGGGUAGCAAACAGGAUUAGAUACCCUGGUA